UACGUAGGGCGCAAGCGUUGUCCGGAAUUAUUGGGCGUAAAGAGCUCGUAGGCGGUUUGUCGCGUCUGUCGUGAAAGCCCACGGCUUAACCGUGGGUCUGCGGUGGAUACGGGCAGACUAGAGGCAGGUAGGGGAGAAUGGAAUUCCCGGUGUAGCGGUGAAAUGCGCAGAUAUCGGGAGGAACACCGGUGGCGAAGGCGGUCUCUGGGCCUGUACUGACGCUGAGGAGCGAAAGCGUGGGGAGCGAACAGG
rnacentral:rRNA from 1 species